rnacentral:rRNA from 1 species
CACGCAGGCGGUCGGAUAAGUCAGAUGUGAAAGCCCCGGGCUCAACCUGGGAACUGCAUUUGAAACUGUCCGACUAGAGUCUUGUAGAGGGGGGUAGAAUUCCAGGUGUAGCGGUGAAAUGCGUAGAGAUCUGGAGGAAUACCGGUGGCGAAGGCGGCCCCCUGGACAAAGACUGACGCUCAGGUGCGAAAGCGUGGGAGCAAACA